UUCAACUGGAGCCAGGGUUCCAG
rnacentral:misc_RNA from 1 species